rnacentral:rRNA from 1 species
CCCUUAGAUGUCCUGGGCCGCACGCGCGCUACACUGAGUGUCUGAGAUACGAGUCUGCCUGGUCCGGCAAGGUCUAGGUAAUCGCUAAAAGACACAUCAUGCUUGGGAUAGAUUAUUGCAAAUAUUAAUCUUGAACGAGGAAUUCCUAGUAAGCGCAAGUCAACAGCUUGCGUUGAUUACGUCCCUGCCCUUUGUACACACCGCCCGUCGCUACUACUGAUUGGAUGUUUAAGCGAGGUUCUCGAACUGAUAGCGACUUAGCUUCGGUGAGGUCGCAGUGUGGGAAGUGAACCUAGCUUUGGUGUCUAGAGGAAGUAAAAGUCGUAACA